GCCUCGGUGGUACAACGGUUAAACACUCGGCUACUAACCGAAAAGAUGGCGGUUCGAACCCACCCAGUGGCU
rnacentral:tRNA from 1 species